UACGUAGGGGGCAAGCGUUGUCCGGAUUUACUGGGCGUAAAGAGCGUGUAGGCGGCCACGCAGGUCCGUUGUGAAAACUGGAGGCUCAACCUUCAGACGUCGACGGAAACCGUAUGGCUAGAGUCCGGAAGAGGAGAGUGGAAUUCCUGGUGUAGCGGUGAAAUGCGCAGAUAUCAGGAAGAACACCCGUGGCGAAGGCGGCUCUCUGGGACGGUACUGACGCUGAGACGCGAAAGCGUGGGGAGCGAACAGG
rnacentral:rRNA from 1 species